rnacentral:tRNA from 1 species
GUUGCUUUGGCAGAAUUAUGCAUUGGACUUAGGAUCCAAUAAUGUGAGUAAUUAAUCUCACAAGUAAUA